rnacentral:rRNA from 1 species
CUACGGGGGGCACCAGUGGGGAAUAUUGCACAAUGGGCGCAAGCCUGAUGCAGCCAUGCCGCGUGUAUGAAGAAGGCCUUCGGGUUGUAAAGUACUUUCAGCGGGGAGGAAGGGAGUAAAGUUAAUACCUUUGCUCAUUGACGUUACCCGCAGAAGAAGCACCGGCUAACUCCGUGCCAGCAGCCGCGGUAAUACGGAGGGUGCAAGCGGUCUCGGAAUUACUGGGCGUAAAGCGCACGCAGGCGGUUUGUUAAGUCAGAUGUGAAAUCCCCGGGCUCAAUCUGGGAACUGCAUCUGUACUGGCAAGCUUGAGUCUCGUAGAGGUGGGUAGAAUUCCAGGUGUAGCGGUGAAAUGCGUAGAGAUCUGGAGGAAUACCGGUGGCGAAGGCGGCCCCCUGGACGAAGACUGACGCUCAGGUGCGAAAGCGUGGGGAGCAAACAGGAUUAGAUACCCGGGUAGUC